AUGUGGCUCAAGUGGUAACACGCUCGCCUGGCAUGCGUGCGGUACUGAGUUCGAUCCUCCACCACAUA
rnacentral:tRNA from 1 species